ensembl:lncRNA
CUGGUCUAAUUAGCAUACACAGCUGAAAUUUAGGGACCUGGGAUGAAGAAAAAAGAGAGGGAGACAUCCACUUAAAUCUCUUUGUCAGGCAGCGGCAUAGGAAGUUGUAAAGACUUGCAGUGCAGAGCCCAAGGUGGAAAUGUUCUCCCAUUUCCAAGACCAGCAGAGCACCCUGUAUCCUACAUGAGAGCACCCACCUCUUCUUUUCAAGCCAAGCCAUGAAAACAAAGGAGAACCGAGCAGCAGCCAGCAGAGACACCCCAAAGUGAUACAGCUGUACCAGCAACGGGGAACUCACCCCUGGUGAUACCAGGAGAAAUCCCAACUCAUCUCCAGGACACUGAAGCAGAGUGUAGGAGCCUGUAGUCCUCCACUGGGGUUGCUUUGGGAGAGGCUGACCCAGCUGGACUGCAGUGGUAGGGACUGCAGCAAAGAGCCUGAGCAACAUUCAAGAAAGCUGAUGAGUUGACUGGCAUCAGAGACUGUCCAAACCAAGGAGUCAGAUGGAAAGGACCACGAGGGAAAUUGGGCUGCAUACCCAAGAGAAGGCUUUGAAACAAUGCAAUCCCAUUUUCACAACGUCCAGCAUGGAGAUGUGAUGUCCAAAUCUCCAGUACCACUGUGCUUGCACAGGCAGAGCCUUGCCAGCUUUUCAGUCAGGCUGAGGCUGAAUUUGCCACAAGAGCAAGUCCUAGGAUGUGCAUUCAAGACGAGGAACAGGACCUUGUCCCACAGAGAACUUUUCCACCAAGCAAGCCCAGGGUGUCAGACUAGGAGCCUGUUUCUGUUUUCUGCAUUACAUUCAGCUCAAUCAAUCAUUCAAUGGCUUCCAUCCUUAUUUUUCCUCUGUCCUUUCCAGUCAGACUUUGUUCUCUUCAGACUGGUGGUGGGUUUGUGCCUGGUACAGAGGGUGCUCACCUGAGCCAGGGACAUGAUGGUUGCUGUCAUGCUAAUCAUAAUUUUCCUCAGAAAGGAAAUAGCAAAUGCCUUUGUGUCUUGUUCUCCUGCCCUUGUGCUCCCAGACCACUGCUCUGAGGACAGGACACUUCCCCUCUGCCUCCUUUUGCUCUGAUUUGCCUUGCCUUCCCCAAGCCCUACUGCUAACUGCACUCUCACUGAUUAUUUUCUUUUCAGAGGCUGUAAACUUCAGUUCCUGCUCAGCUUGCAUUAGUGUCAGAGAAGUAUCUCUUGGCUGUUUACAGAAGAGAAAAUGGAAAGAUGAGCAUUAUUUCAUGUGAAAUAUGGUAGAGAGCCUAUGCUGAGUUUCUCUGUGAGGCCUGAGGCUCCAGCUACCUGAAGAAGCUGGUGAAAGCAUCCGUCAUCUGGUGAUUCAUCUCCCCUUGCCAUGGCUCUGGCCCUGCUCUGCGUGGGUGUCUCACAGCUCUCAUCAACUCUGGUUUUGAUGCAGACCAGGAGCUGCUGGGCUGUUCGCCCAAGUUUAUCUUGUAUGAAAGAGUUUGCUUGCUUUUCAAUUGUCUGGUGUUCUCCUGAAGAUGUAAAUUAAAAAAAAUAAAAAAAAAAAUAAAAAAAACAGGUUUUCUUGUAGAUUGCUUUUCAGCUGUUUCUACUAGGAGUGAGAAAAUGGGGAUUGGUGCUCAAGGGAUGUCUCUGGUGCGAGGUCAUACCAGUCCAAUCCCUUCUUGGAAAGAG